rnacentral:sRNA from 1 species
GUCAGUUUCAACUGUAACCCUCCUAAACAGGCACUGUUUAUAUACUGUUACAUCUUUUUUCAGGGAAUGUAUAUUCCUUUACAUAGACGCUGUUUUAGUACUUGGUGAAACCAAAUUCAAUGUUAUCAAAAUGGAGUAUCAAAUAAUCAACAGUUUUAAAGCCUCAUAUAAGGUAAAAGACUAUUUGAAAAUCGAAUAGGUUGAAGACUCCCUUUUUCUUGUGUGAACUAAUAUUUAUAAAUUGAGAUGUUGUAAUGCAUGCAACAGGUUUGGUGCAUUUUAAAGUUGAAAAAAAUCUCAGUACAUUUAAGCAUUGAAUCAUUUUUUUUGAAAGAUGUGGUCUCAUAACUUCAACGGUGUGUGCAUACAAAUUGAAUAACGCGCUUGGCAAAAUAUUGUAUAUUGGGUACCCUCAUUGUAAGGAUAACUCCUGCUAGAGUGUUCAAGAUAGAAAGUUGUUCUUUUGCAGAUCAAUUGUACAUAUAUUAGAUGUUUGCUUUUUGCUGGGAUUUUGAUUUCUGAUGAUUUAUGAAAAAAUGUACCAGCUUUUUAACUUAGUCAUUUUUUGGCAAAUAUCUUAUAUAGGGUACUACCUUCACUGGAUAUGAUAGACAGUGUUAAUCAAUUCAGGGUUGACAUGGUUUGUAUACAGUUCAAAUAAAGGAAAACCAUGUUUGCUGUCACAUUGACAACUUCUCGCUUGUUUUCAACAGUAUAAUAAUGAUUGAGAAUGAUAAAAAGUAAAGAUAUCAAUAAUUGUCAUUGUGUCUAAAGUUUGAAAUAUUAAGAAUUAAUAACAUUUAAAGAGUACAAGCAAGAGACGUCAAUGAAGAAGCAGUCAGCAACGUUAUUUGAGUUAACACCUUGAAAUGUCAUGUACUCGUAUAGUUAGCAUAUUUCAAUUUUAUACUAUAUACAGGGUCAAUUUCGUCUCGUGUUAUUUUGGACAAUCUGCACUUUAAACGGUUUCUCCCCGUCUUAAAUUCACCCAAACGAAGAGAAAUAAUAUAAGACAACGAAAUUCGCCCAUCCUUAAAUUCGCCUCUCACAGCGAGGGCGAAAGGCGUGAAAAUAAAACGGGGAAGAAUAUUUCCCUGUAUACAGUAUAUACCGGCAGAGCGAUUAUUUAUAAUGUCAAAAGUCUCUGGUAAAUAUUAUCUUUACAUGUACUAACUAUGUUUGGAUUUAAAUUUUUUAAGAUUUAAGAAAAACGGU